AGACCAUGAUUAUCAGUCCAUAUGGAAAAUCAGGCAAUGUUCUGCAAGAGCCGUCGGGCAACACAUGUACACAGCUUUCAACUGGUGAUAAUGCAGUAAGGCAGAUGGCAACAACAACUGAGGCAUUGCUGCAGUUUCACAGACCUAUAUUGCCAGCCAUUUCAGAACAACCAAACAUCCCAAAUGUUAUUACAGAAACAUCCGACAAGCAAACGAAAGCAAGAAAGUCGCUGUUCUCCCCUGUCUCUGGACAAGCAACUGAUAAAAAAGGACCCAAA